rnacentral:rRNA from 1 species
UAUGCGGAUCUCCAUUAUGGAUACUUCGGUGUUCAUAUGGAACUGCAUAAGCAGGUGAAACUUCUUAGAGGAACUGGCGCUUAAAAAAGCGCACGAGAAAGAGCAAUAACAGGUCUGUGAUGCCCUAAGAUGUCCGGGGCCGCACGCGUGCUACAAUGACGAUGCUAUUGAGUAUGAUUUACUGGUCCGAAAGGAUUGGUAAAACUGUUCAAUCAUCGUCAUGUCUGGGAUUGGGGUUUGUAAUUAUCCCCCAUGAACCAGGAAUUCCUAGUAAGCACAAGUCAUAAGCUUGUGCUGAUUACGUCCCUGCCCUUUGUACACACCGCCCGUCGCUACUACCGAUUGAAUGGUUUAGCAAGGUCAUUGGAUUGAGUCUUUGUGGUUCACGCUGCAUUGAUUUGAAAAGAUGGCCGAACUUGAUCAUUUAGAGGAAGUAAAAGUCGUAACAAGGUUUCCGUAGGUGAACCUGCGGAAGGAUCAUUA